UGGAAGACUUCAACAGAGCUGCCCUGAUUUAUAUCAGCUGAGGACCUUGUCUUGUGCCUCUGAAAAGCAUGAAUGGUUCAGUCUAUGACAUUGCUCAUUUGCAUAACGACACUCACAGCCAAAUUCAGACUUGUUGUAACUGGACUGUGGGAAAGCAUGAGUCCUCUCAGUCCAGACCAGCCAGUCUUCAGAUGAAAUGGGUUUGCUCAGCGGCCUGCAACUAUCCACUAGAGAAGCAAGAGCACCCCCUAAACCAUCGUGCAAGUCUCACACAGCUUUCUGAGGACUCAGCACCAAUUUUUUUUUGAGACAGAUUCUGUAACCCAUACUUCUGAAGAAGAUCAUUCCUCUUUUAUUCUUGAUUCCUACAAAGGCAGAGGCAUUUCAUCUGAAUACAGUUGGGCUUGAAGACUUACCAAGAGGUAUUACUGGAACCCAGUUAAAACAAAGACUGAGCUGUCCUGGUUCCAGUUGUUUGUCGGAGAUGGAGUCAGGAUCCGCUGAUCGAACCAGCAUGCAGUACCAGAAGACCACAUAUCUACAAACAUAUAGUCUAAGAACACAGGACUGUCCUUUGCAACAUUAAAGACUAAACUCAGAGCAUGUCAUCUUGGUUUUGUAAAUCUAACAACAAUAUAAAUUGCAAACCAAUUUUUGGGGCCUAAUUUGGGUAAGGUUUGUGAUUUCAGCAGUAAAAUAAUCGAGACACCAUCAAUGGUGGUAUUGUCUGUCUAUUGUUUUAUUGUGAUAAAUAAGGAACCAAGAUAUGGUGGCAUCAAAGACACAGAUUCUUUGGAGAUCAUAUCACUCCGUAGUUUGACGUGAAUAAAAACUUUACUCUGG